rnacentral:rRNA from 1 species
AAGUGGAGAAGGGUUCCAUGUGAACAGCAGUUGAACAUGGGUCAGUCGGUCCUAAGGGAUGGGCGAAAGCCGUUCGGAAGGGAGGGGCGAUGGCCUCCGUCGCCCCCACUCGAUCGAAAGGGAAUCGGGUACAGAUCCGCGAACCCGGAGUGGCGGAGACGGGCGCCGCUCGGCGCGCAGUGCGGUAACGCAAACGAACCCGGAGAAGCUGGCGGGGGCCCCGGGAAGAGUUCUCUUUUCUUUGUGAAGGGCCGGGCACCCUGGAAUGGGUUCGUCCCGAGAUAGGGGCCCACGCCCUGGAAAGCGCCGCGGUUCCGGCGGCGACCGGUGAGCUCUCGUCGGCCCUUGAAAAUCCGGGGGAGAAGGUGUAAGUCUCGCGCCGGGCCGUACCCAUAUCCGCAGCAGGUCUCCAAGGUGAACAGCCUCUGGCGUGUUAGAACAAGGCAGCGUAAGGGAAGUCGGCAAGUCAGAUCCGUAACUUCGGGAUAAGGAUUGGCUCU